GUUGUCGCGGCUGAGUGGUUCAGGUGAUGAACUAGAAAUCUUUUGGAAUCUUCCCGCGCUGGUUCGAAUCCUGCCGACAUCG
rnacentral:tRNA from 1 species